GCUUAAGCCAAAAGGUGGGGAAGCAACAGAUUUAAUCCCUGGUAGCCACACGUAAAACGAUAAUGCAAGUUGUCGGUUGCAAUCCAGUUCGGUGACCCAGUUACGCAUUAAGCAAUCCGCCUGGGAAGUCCGGUCGCAAGAUUCAAACUCAAAGGAAUUGACGGGGGGCCGGCACAAAGCGGUGAAGCAAUGUGGUUUAAUUCGAAGCAACGCGCAGAACCUUACCACCUUUUUGACAUGCCUGGACCGCCACGGAGACGUGGCUUUCCCUUCGGGACUGGACACAGGUGCUGCAUGGCUGUCGUCAGCUCGUGUCGUGAGAUGUUGGGUUAAGUCCCGCAACGAGCGCAACCUUCGCCAUUAGUUGCCAUCAUUCAGUUGGGAACUCUAAUGGGACUGCCGGUGCUAAGCCGGAGAAGGUGGGGAUGACGUCAAGUCCUUCAUGGCCCUUACAGGGUGGGCUACACACGUGCUACAAUGGCAACUACAGAGGGUUAAUCCUUAAAAGUUGUCUCAGUUCGGAUUGUCCUCUGCAACUCGAGGGCA
rnacentral:rRNA from 2 species